GCGGGUGUAGUUCAAUGGUAGAACCCCAGCCUUCCAAGCUGGUCGUGUGGGUUCGAUUCCCAUCACCCGCUCCA
rnacentral:tRNA from 12 species